UGCGUAGGCGGCCCGGAAAGUUGGGUGUGAAAGCCCUCGGCUCAACCGAGGAAUUGCGCCCAAAAACUACCGAGCUUGAGGAAGACAGAGGUAAGCGGAACUUAGGGUGGAGCGGUGAAAUGCGUUGAUAUCCUAAGGAACACCAGGAGCGAAAGCGGCUUACUGGGUCUUUUCUGACGCUGAGGCACGAAAGCUAGGGGAGCGAACGGGAUUAGAUACCCCGGUAGUCCUAGCCGUAAACUAUGAGCACUGGAUUGGAGGGUCUCCCAUAACCUUCCAGUCGUAGCGAAAGUGUUAAGUGCUCCGCCUGGGGAGUAUGGUCGCAAGGCUGAA
rnacentral:rRNA from 1 species